rnacentral:rRNA from 1 species
GACGAACGCUGGCGGCGUGCCUAAUACAUGCAAGUAGAACGCUGAAGCGAGGAGCUUGCUCUUCUUGGAUGAGUUGCGAACGGGUGAGUAACGCGUAGGUAACCUGCCUUGUAGCGGGGGAUAACUAUUGGAAACGAUAGCUAAUACCGCAUAACAAUGGAUGACACAUGUCAUUUAUUUGAAAGGGGCAAUUGCUCCACUACAAGAUGGACCUGCGUUGUAUUAGCUAGUAGGUGAGGUAACGGCUCACCUAGGCGACGAUACAUAGCCGACCUGAGAGGGUGAUCGGCCACACUGGGACUGAGACACGGCCCAGACUCCUACGGGAGGCAGCAGUAGGGAAUCGUCGGCAAUGGGGGCAACCCUGACCGAGCAACGCCGCGUGAGUGAAGAAGGUUGUCGGAUCGUAAAGCUCUGUUGUAAGUCAAGAACGAGUGUGAGAGUGGAAAGUUCACACUGUGACGGUAGCUUACCAGAAAGGGACGGCUAACUACGUG